rnacentral:rRNA from 1 species
GAUGAACGCUAGCGGCAGGCCUAAUACAUGCAAGCCGGACGGCAAGUUGAGUAGCAAUACUUGACCUAGAGUGGCGUAAGGGUGCGUAACACGUAUGCAAUCUGCCCACAGCCGGGAGAUAGCCCUCCGAAAGGAGGAUUAAUAUCCCAUAGGAAGAUGAGAUGGCAUCAUUUUAUUUUAAACUACGGGGCUGUGGAUGAGCAUGCGGUUGAUUAGCUAGUUGGCGGGGUAAAGGCCCACCAAGGCGAUGAUCAAUAGGGGACCUGAGAGGGUGAUCCCCCACACUGGCACUGAGAUACGGGCCAGACUCCUACGGAGGCAGCAGUAGGGAAUAUGGGACAAUGGGUGUAAGCCUGAUCCAGCCAUGCCGCGUGCAGG